UACGGAGGGGGUUAGCGUUGUUCGGAAUUACUGGGCGUAAAGCGCGCGUAGGCGGACCAGAAAGUUGGGGGUGAAAUCCCGGGGCUCAACCCCGGAACGGCCUCCAAAACUCCUGGUCUUGAGUUCGAGAGAGGUGAGUGGAAUUCCGAGUGUAGAGGUGAAAUUCGUAGAUAUUCGGAGGAACACCAGNGGCGAAGGCGGCUCACUGGCUCGAUGCUGACGCUGAGGUGCGAAAGUGUGGGGAGCAAACAGG
rnacentral:rRNA from 1 species